rnacentral:rRNA from 1 species
GCUCCCUGCUCCGCGGCGGCCGAGGCGGCGCGGGAGCUGCGGGACGCGGUGGCGGCCCUCGCCGUGCACCGCACCGCCGACGAGGACGCGCUGCGGCGCCGCGCCGUCGCGCUGGACGCCAACGUUCGCCGCCUACAGGGCUCCCUCGCCCCCCUCGACCCCGCCACGCUCGACAUUACUACUCCAUAUGCUAGCCGCAGCGAGGGCGACGACAACGUGGCGGAGGCGCAGGCGCCGGCCAAGAAGGGCGGCCACGGCGGCGCGGCCGCCGCCGACCCGCGCCUCCAGGGCAUUUCCGACGCCAUCCGCGUCGUCCCGCACUUCCCCAAGCAAGGUUCGUCCGCCCAUCUCUGUGCAAAACCAUUACUACCAACCAACCAUAACCCUCCUGUCUGA